AUGUUCACCCACCAUAAUACUUAUGCUAUCUUGAAAGAAGCCACUAGUGUAACCUAUGGCCCCCGGGUCUAUCUUUUAUCAUAUAAGUUUCCAAUCUACUUUUAUUUGCAAUCUUUACUUUCCUAUCUAUAUCAUAAAAAUACCAAAAAUAUUUAUCUUAUCUAA
rnacentral:rRNA from 1 species